AACAGGACAUCCGUCAAAGCGGUGAGGCUGCAUCGGGCUCUGAGCAGACCGGCCACCAUGUCCAGCGCCGCUGUCUCCUCUUUCUCCGUUUCCCCGUUGCGACGGUGCUCGGCCACCAUCUGGCCUCCCUGGUGUGGUGGUUUGGUGCUGCUGCCCUUCGCCUCCCGCUUGUCCUUUUCUUCCCCAAUUUCUCGCCUCUCCCUUGCACGGUGGCACUCCAUCGGACCUCUCUCCCCAAACCUUCCGGUAGCACACAAUCUGGACGGACGGCUCCCCCACCAAAUCCUCGCUCCCACCCCCGCGGAGGCCGCCCCCUCUUCUCCCUCCUUUGACUGCCGGGGUACCUACCGAUGUAGUCGCGCGGCAGACCCUCCUUUUCCUCCCGAUGCGGUUGGUGGCGCGGAGGAGGACCUGGGCGGCCUCUUUUCCCUCCCAAGGCGGCACGGAUUUGGGACGAGCCAACGCGGCCGGUGAUCCAUCAGGAGCACCUGAGCGGCCUCUUCUCCCUCCCAAGGCGGACAGGCGGCGCUGCUUGGGCGACGAUGUAGAGGCGGCCGGGGCUUGACCGAAAAGCUUCUGGUGAGGUGCAGCAUGUGUGGUCGCCUUGACAGCCGGGAGCAUACGAGAGUACUAGCGCCAGUGGAGAACAUCAGGGGAGGAGCGGCGGAUUUAGGUGGAGCAGGCCGGGAAGAGCUGCUGGCGAGGUGCGGCCGAUGUGGUCGCGGUUGUCCGUGUCGAGCUGCGGCCGCCGCGGGAGCAGAGGGGAGUACUGGCACCGGAGAGUAGCAACAGUGGAGGAGCGACGCCGAUGAGGCGGCUGCGAUUAGAGGCGGAGCACGCUCUGCAUCGGCAACUGAUGGAACUGCGAUGCCGCGGGGAUUGGGGACUCGAAGUGCGACAUGGAUAUCGCAAGUAUUGAGGACUCGAAGUGCGACAUGUAGCGGCGGUCGUCGGGGUGGCCGGGACAAAUUCUUCCUCGCCCAGGCUCUCCCUGACCGAGCUCCUCGGCGUCCGGUGGCUGUUGUAACGUGGUGGGUCAGUUUCUGUUCUGGUGUCGCGGCCGUCACCGAGGUGUGGGCCUCUUGACGACCAGCAGUGUUGCCUGCUCCGCAUCUUGGAGUGCGGCGUUGCUGGAAGCCUCCCCGCCGCCACCUGGAAGACGACCAGGGCGUUUAUACACUUUUUAUGAACAGAUUGAAAAUUAUAUCAGGAUUUUGAUUUUGUUUUGGUUACUGCUCUACAGGAGUUUCGAAACUGGUUGAAUCCUUGGGCGAUGGAGGCCGUGCGAUGCACAUGGCCGCACUUGAGAUCAGGUUGCUAGCCGCAGAUGGGCGUGGAGGCAGAUAGGGAGUUAGCAAGUAGCAGGAAGAACCAUGACAAGCUGCAGGGCGGAGCCCUUCCUGAUGAAGGUUUUUGAUGCACUAGCGUUAUGAAGUUCUGAAUUUUGGUUUGGCGUGCUUUCUUCAAUGGUACUCUGUAGGUUUUAGAUUGCAACAUGGUGAAGGAGCAUACGUGGAUCACCCGAUUCACCUACAUAUGGCUUUAGUAGGCAACCAUUUAAUAUCUGUGGUAACAUAGCUUUUUAUAUAGAUUUUUGUAUUAAUGGGGUUUAGGUAGACUUUUUUCAUAGAAGGGUAAACUGAAAUCUUAACAUCUUUUAACAUAUGUGGUAGCAUAGCCUUUUUUUGUCUAGAUUUGUAGAACGAUAUAACUGAAAUCUAAGCUGAUCAUAUGUAUUCAAAGGCCAGUAAAGAGUAUUCUGCACCGUCUUUUUCGUUUAUCUUGAAUUUUCGUCUUGCUCUGAAAUACGCGAAAAUCUAUUCAUAAAGUAUUUUAUCUUCUUGGUCAUGUCAUCAUGUGUAGUAAUAUUUACAUUUGGGUGCAAGGAAGUAUUAUCAGUGUUUACCAUCUGUUUUUGGCCUCAUUGACGCUACUCAAUACUGACCAGGCUAAUUAAAUAGACAAGCACAAAUAUCAUUAACCUCAAUGUUACUCUAUGAAAUAAAACUUAAUAUUGUAACCCAGCUUCUGAAUUGUCCAGCUGUACUGUUGUGGUGCCUUCUAGCGUUAGAUGUGUGAUUUAAUCUGCUCAUAUUUCUAACAUAGUUUUUUUUCAUGUCGCGAAAUUCUCAAGUCCGGUAUCUAAGCAACAGAGGGUGUAAUGACCAUUCUCGUGAGAUGGUCGAACUUCUUAUUAACACUUUCAUGGUAGGCUACACCAGAAGAACCCAUUGUAGAACUACUGUUCUCUAGAAAUUUCCUUUUCUAUAAAAUAUUGAUUCUGUAUCAGUGAUAAUAGAAGGAAUUCAUUCAUAUCACGUGUAAUCUAUUAUUUUUUGUGUCUUAUAAUUUUAAGAGUAGUUUGUGUGGAUUAGGUAUCGUUUAAUUGUUUUAAUACUGGUGUUACUUUUGACAUCCAAGUAUUUUGUGACAUCUCUCCAAAUCAACUUGCUACUGGACAAUCUUAUUGAUCUCAGCUUACAGUAUUUUUCAAGGCUGUUCAAUUCUGUACUGAGACUAUUGCAGAAACCAGUUCCGCUAUAUAGUAUAAUCCUUGCCAUUUUUUGUUUUACAUUCUUCACUGUUUAUUUUUUCAUGAUUAUUAUUACUCUAAUACCAACUCGAGUGCCUUCAUACAAUUGAGCUGAAUGUGACUAAUAACUUAUGGAUUCAGCCUGACGCCUCUUUGUUUUGUCCAUCAAGUCCACCUACCUGAAGGUAGCCCUUCUCUACCACAUACCACAGGUGCAUUAGUAGAUGUGUUUGAUAUAGAAAACCCUAUUUGUUCACAAUCUGAAGAAAUGCUCGCAUGGGCUAAUCUCUUUUUUCAACUAAAGCUUCUGGGUCAUAAUAUAUAUGUAUUUGUCUACUAUGGUGUUCUUGGAGAUACAGUCUGAGGUCCAAAGAUGCAAGCUGGCCAUUUUUGUUAGAAACCUGGUCAGAUGAUACAUUGACAUGCCUUGCCGAUAACAAGUGUUGUUUACAGGAUGUUGUAAGAAAAAGAAUGGCAUCUCCAAAUAAUACUAAAUAACUCACAGUAGAGAUGAAAGAUCUUCGUAAGGUUCAUCAUGUCAGUCUGGUAUGCCAUUUUACAGUUCUCAUAGGAUACCUAAUCUAGAUUAUAUCUCAAAACUCCUGUUGUUUCUUAUUUAUUUGGUGACCAGUGUUUUGUUAAAUGUGUGUGUAGUUGAUUGGCUAUGCAGGAAGGAUGACUUGUUCCUGUUUUAUGGGUACUCCGAAAAGUUACAUCUAAAAACCAUCUUCAUGAUCCUCAAAGCAAAAGUGUUCUAUGGCCAAGAAUUCGCUCCUUUGUAUCAGUAUCUUGAUGGUGUUUUUUUUUCUGUUUUGAGGAAGAGAGAACUUCAUUUCAUAUGAUAUGAAAAUUCUUGAAAUCAUCUGGUACAAAAGACUGACACUGUUUCUUUGUACAGGAGCUUGGUGUAACCAGGAACUAACCAAACUAUUGAUUGUUGCAUAAAGAGCUACCACAUGUGCGACACGAAUUAACUCUCUCUUCACCUUGGUGACCUUCAGACUGGACAACGGCUGCACAAUCACUCUCAAAAUUAAAUGGGCCAUGGCACCAGGAGCAGCAAGGUCGAGGCCCUCCCUGAGAGCAUUCAGUUCAGCUUUCCUAGCAUUCAGGCAAUUAGCAAAGCAACAUCGCCUGAGGUGUAGAGUCAGUUCGGGUCAUAGAGAGGCCAGCAGGAGAUCUUCUCAGCUUUGUGGAGGUAGCCCACAUAGGGGCAUCAUUGAGCAGGCUAGCGGCGACCACCAUUGCUCAAAUGCUCCUUCCAGGGAUGCUCAGCAUCCUCCCAACAGAAUAACAAAUCCACAACUCCAACAAUGAGGAGUGAAGAAGAAAAUCAAUACACUGAUGCUCCCUUCGGCGAUGAAGCAGACUCCACACCCUCCAUCGAUUUCUUCAGCAAAGGCCUACAACUCAUCAUACUUUCCUCCGUCCAUGGGGACAAUGCCGCCGAGCACUGAUGAGUCAAACACCAAGCAACAUCAGCACUACCAGUCAUACCAUCCUACUAUGCAAUUUCCUCCAGGCAUGUAUCACCAAAAACAUGUUGUGCUUUAGGUGAAGUAGAACCUGAUGUCUUCUACAUAUCACACAUGUAAGAUGAUGCCAUUAACUAUGUAGUAAGAUGUAAUUAUGUCUUAGUGCUUAUCCAAGGCAAUCCCAUGAACUAUGUAAUUAAGUCUAAUUAUAUAUCACCGCUACUGUCCAUCAUUGCUCAACAA